CCCGUUUCCAAGAAAUAAUUAGAGGGUUUUAGAGUGCGUAUGACUGAAGAUGAGCAGGAAUGAGCUUGGAUGUUCUGGAUAAAGCACUUGAAAAGUGCUCUGAACAGCAAAGCUGCUCGGAGGUUCUGGUCACAUCAGACCGUGCUCUACAGAUGUGCAGAGUUCUCACCGCAGCUGAAUUCACCAAAAGCUGGGUUGAAAUGAUGAAAUAACACCUGAAAAUAAUUACUUGUGGAGCCCCAUGAGCAGCAAAAAGGAAUAUUCUGCUUUUCCUUACAUUGGUCUUAAAGUUGAAACCCUCCAUGAAUUGCUUAACAUAAAAAUAAACUUCAGUUUAUUUUAUAUCCUUUCUCUCAGUGAAAACAAUGAUGAAACCAUCUCCUCUACUGGAGCACUCUGCAUUAAAUUUGGAGGAAUUUCCUAGUUAAAGGUGGUUGGUAUUCCCAGGAGGAAUUACAACUGCUGAGGAAAGGCACACAGGAACACAGCAUUCUCCCCAGAGAGUCACCUGAUGCUGAAAUGGAGAUGCAGUUGUUCAAAUUGUGCAGGCAAAAUUGAUUAAAACGUUGUGUUAUUUCAUUACUGCCUCACUGCAAAAUAUUAUCAUUAAAAUGUUCUAUUAAUAAUUUGAAUCACCAUUAAUUUUAAAAAUAAGUCUGUGAGCAACCAUCCAAAAAUGUGUGAGGGGUCUCCUCAGGUGAUAUUCUAAUAUAUUACCUAGUCAGAAUUAAAAGAAAGAAGGCAGGGCAUUAAGGAAGAUAUUUUUUUUAAGCACAUGCCUUACAGCUUUAACGAAAGCCUGGAGCCUUCUAUUUUGAAUUACUGAAGAAAUAUUUACUGAGUUAUAAAUUCAAAUUUGCAACUUUAAAAUUUAAAGCUACUAAGAUCAUUCAUUCUGUUAAAAAAAAAAAACAGAACUAAAGAAAAAUAAUAACUGUAUUAGAUUUUUUAAAAUUAUUUCCUCUAC